rnacentral:rRNA from 1 species
UUACUGAGUUUACGCUCUAUAACCCUUUGUGAACAUACCUAUAACUGUUGCUUCGGCGGGUAGGGUCUCCGUGACCCUCCCGGCCUCCCGCCCCCGGGCGGGUCGGCGCCCGCCGGAGGAUAACCAAACUCUGAUUUAACGACGUUUCUUCUGAGUGGUACAAGCAAAUAAUCAAAACUUUUAACAACGGAUCUCUUGGUUCUGGCAUCGAUGAAGAACGCAGCGAAAUGCGAUAAGUAAUGUGAAUUGCAGAAUUCAGUGAAUCAUCGAAUCUUUGAACGCACAUUGCGCCCGCCAGCAUUCUGGCGGGCAUGCCUGUUCGAGCGUCAUUUCAACCCUCAAGCUCUGCUUGGUGUUGGGGCCCUACAGCUGAUGUAGGCCCUCAAAGGUAGUGGCGGACCCUCCCGGAGCCUCCUUUGCGUAGUAACUUUACGUCUCGCACUGGGAUCCGGAGGGACUCUUGCCGUAAAACCCCCAAUUUUCCAAAGGUUGACCUCGGAUCAGGUAGGAAUACCCGCUGAACUUAAGCAUAUCAAUAAGCGGAGGAAAAGAAACCAACAGGGAUUGCCUCAGUAACGGCGAGUGAAGCGGCAACAGCUCAAAUUUGAAAUCUGGCCCUAGGCCCGAGUUGUAAUUUGCAGAGGAUGCUUUUGGUGCGGUGCCUUCCAAGUUCCCAA